GACGAACGCUGGCGGCGUGCUUAACACAUGCAAGUCGAACGGAAAGGCCCUGCUUGCAGGGUACUCGAGUGGCGAACGGGUGAGUAACACGUGGGUGAUCUGCCCUGCACUUCGGGAUAAGCCUGGGAAACUGGGUCUAAUACCGGAUAGGAGCCAUUUUUAGUGUGAUGGUUGGAAAGUUUUUUCGGUGUAGGAUGAGCUCGCGGCCUAUCAGCUUGUUGGUGGGGUAAUGGCCUACCAAGGCGGCGACGGGUAGCCGGCCUGAGAGGGUGGACGGCCACAUUGGGACUGAGAUACGGCCCAGACUCCUACGGGAGGCAGCAGUGGGGAAUAUUGCACAAUGGGCGCAAGCCUGAUGCGGCGACGCCGCGUGGGGGAUGACGGCCUUCGGGUUGUAAACUCCUUUCGCUAGGGACGAAGCUUUGUGUGACGGUACCGAGAUAAAAAGCACCGGCUAACUA
rnacentral:rRNA from 1 species